rnacentral:lncRNA from 1 species
UUUUUAAUAAAAUAAACAAGUAAAAGAAAAUAGAAGAAAAUAAAUGACUAAAAAUAAAGUUGGUCAAACAUGUCCACAUGGUAUUCUGUGCCAAGCCAAUCAAAACAAAUCCAAUCAUAACAAAUCCAAUCAUUGGGUGAUAGAGGACAAAAACAAGGUGAACCAACCACAACGCGCCACAUGGCCAUGCAAAAGCAAACAAAUUUCAAAAUCUCCUCAUAAAAUCGUGAAACACGAUUUUUAAGCUAGCUAC